GCUCAUUCUAAAGUAUGGCGAUGCAAUUUGCUCGUAAUAGAGACACAAAUCGCAAUUUCAAGACUUCCAGUUAUCCUGCUUUCUAGAUAUUGUCCGGAUUCUUGAGAGAUGCAUUUAGUACGCAUUGCUGUCUGUGUGGAUAAAAGUAACUUCUAAAUGCAUUUCUCUCAUUCUUGGUUUGUCAGAAUUGAGUAUUUCUACUCGGCACGUACGGCCGGCCUCGGGGGAGGAACACAAGAUGGAUCGGCUUCUCCUGAGGGUGUGUAAAGCCAAGGAGGAAAUGCCUCCCUUUAAACAGGAAACUAGGAUAUUUACUGAGAUUAAAAUAACAACCGACGCCGAAUCUGAGAGAAAACUAGUUAGUAGUUAGUAAGUCCAGUCAACAAUGCGUGAUUAUCCUUUCUGUUUGACCUUUAAUUUCCAAACCAAUAAUAAUAAUAUAAGUAAUAAUAGCAAUAAAAUAAUAUAUAAUAAUAAUAAAAAGCUUCCCAGUAAUUAUUAAUCAGUAAAAUAUUGUAAAUUCUAUAUUUUGCCACUAGUAAGGCUUAUUUAUUAGCUUUUUAGGAAAUAACUGAUAUGUGGCCUAUGCAUUUGUAACAGUUUGUGUAGCACGAUAUCAUUCAUCUGAUGUAAUUUGUUACCCAGUUGUGCAAUAUUUGGCCCAUCAUUGCAUUUCAUGUAAUUAUAUGUUAAAUUAAGGCAUUUGGACACUUAAGCCACAACUUGUAAAUGUCUUUGCAAUGCAUUGGAUAACAAAAUGUCAAAACUACUUUUCAAGCUAAAUAAUAAAUAAUAAAAAAUGAUAAAUAUACUCUGAAUAAAUGGUAUUUAGAUACACCGUUUGGAGGUGAUGCACUAAUUGGCUAGACUGUUUGAUAGAUGGCAAACAGCACCAGCGUGAGUCUGAACAACAGCUCGGUCCCGAUGAGCGUGUGAGAGUCUGCGGCUUUCAGCGGCAUCACAGCCUAUCUAUAGCGACAUCAACAAGUCUCAACCCCGAGCCCCCGUCCCCCCGACCCGCUCCCCAGCGCAACGGUGUCCCAUUAACACAUCUGACUCCUGAAACCUGGCAGGAAUGGCUCUGGUAUCACACACGCGGACAUUACUCCCAUACUCGUGUUGGGAGGAGCUGGCUGAGGGGUAUCGCUUCCACAUCAAGUGUGCACCUGCAGUGUUUAUCAAAACAUAUCAAACAUCGCUGACAGAGUCACCCACGUUCUUCACAACGUCUUCUUUUGUGUUCGGCAGACGCGACGGUUCGGAACGGCUUUCAUUGUUUCACUUUAAGGUGAACUAUCUCUUUAACUCUCACUAUAUUCGGUCACAUGCUGCUAUCUUAACUAUGGCAUGUUGGGCCGUGAACUCCACACAGUACCGUGAGACUGAUCUUAUGACCAGAGCCGCAGCUGUUGCAACUGUGUAAGACUAAUACAGAAGGCACACACACACACGCAUGCCUUCAGCAUGACUGACAGCGCAAGAAAAACAUUAAGAUGCUCAGCUUAUUCUCUGACUGACGGCUGCGGAGCGGGACAUAUGCAGUAUUAUUAUGGUCUCUGUUCGGGAGGCGGUCAGCGAUCUAAUUGGAUGAAGGCAGUGGGAUGCCCCAUAUACAGAGGGAGGGAGAGCAGGAGCCCGUCUUACACGAAUGCGACUCUGAUGGCCCGACGCAGAGGGCGACACGUGACCGCAGUGAAGUGAAGACUAACGUAAAAGAAGCUCUGGAGUCAGUUCAUGAUGCCAAAAUAUUGCGGCGAGAAACGAGGCAAAAAGGAGAGAAACCUGUACACCUAUGACCACCCAAACACGGAAGUAACCAGGACACACCCGGAGUCAUAAACCGUGGCGCGGGGCCAAACCUUUGCAGAUACAGAAACAAAACAUAAAGCGCGAUUCCUGGGUCGUCAGCGUGGGCCUGCUGAUCUCAGUACGAGUGGGAGAGCAAGAAAGCAAGAGAACAAGGAUCUGAACAGUUUGUUCACCCGGGUGAAGGCUAGAAGAUCAAGCUUGGUGUAGCAAGAGCUUGCCUGUGUUGCAAUGUCCAGUCCCAGGGCUGAAUUGUCCACCACAACCGCGGAUGCUUUGAAGACGGCGUAGGCCGCGUAGCACAGCCAGAUGUUGUUGGUGAGGCCCAUGAGAAAGACACACCCCGCACCUACAGCAGAGAAAACCCCCAGCGAGAGCUCGCCCCACACGCCCCACCGCACUCUGAUAUAAC